GUCCUCGCUGUAGCAGCACAUGUACUAAAACUGGAAUGAUACAGGGAAGAUCAGCCUGGCCCCACGCAAGGAUGACACGCAAAUUCGUGAAGCGUUCCAGAUUUUU